GGAUUUCUGGAAUAGAAAAGAAAAGUGUUGUCAUUUCAACAAAGGGUACAAUAGAUAUUUUUGUUUUUAGAUUCGGUCGGUUUUAAUUAAAGAGUUGUAAUUCUAGGCUCUAGUUGAAAAAGGUCGACACAGAACGUAAUAGCACCCUGGGUACCGUUACGACGUGCGUCGACAUUUUUGCGCGGGUUUUGACCGUUAGGGGUUUGGAGAAGGUAUCAUCAUCAUGAUCCAGGGUUUCGGUUUGGGUUCUGUGUGUUUUCUCACUCCAGGUCACGUGAUGUUUUUGUCGGAGCAAGGAUGAGUCACCCUCGCCUCAACGGCGCCUGGCUGUUGCUGUGCGUGUUCUGUCUGGGCCCGGGCUCACUUUCAGAAGGAGCCGAGAACGGAAGAAGGUCGGAUUACCGUAACUCGAGAAGCGCAAGAGCGAGUUGCACGGCUGGCCCUCCGUUUCAAGUGACCUCCUUCAGCUGCGGAUGACCUGUGCUUAAUCAAGACCGCUUGAAUGGCAACUGAGAACUUGCUCCAAGCAAAAAGUGUUUUU